GCAGCAGUGGCGCGACUGGUUCGCGCAGCGCGGCUGGGCGCCGUUGCCGUUUCAACGCGAUGUGUGGAAGCGCUAUCUCGAUGGCGAGUCCGGCUUGCUGCA
rnacentral:tRNA from 2 species